GCGCGAAAACUUUACAAUGCGGGAAACCGUGAUAAGGGGACACCGAGUGCCAGCAUCAUAUGUUGGCUGUCCAGAUGUGUAAAAUACAUCUGUUAGCAAGGGCCGGGCAAGACCGGUGCCAGCCGCCGCGGUAACACCGGCGGCCCGAGUGGUGAUCGUGAUUAUUGGGUCUAAAGGGUCCGUAGCCGGUUUGGUCAGUCCUCCGGGAAAUCUGACGGCUCAACCGUUAGGCUUUCGGUGGAUACUGCCAGACUUGGAACCGGGAGAGGUAAGAGGUACUACAGGGGUAGGAGUGAAAUCUUGUAAUCCCUGUGAGACCACCUGUGGCGAAGGCGUCUUACCAGAACGGGUUCGACGGUGAGGGACGAAAGCUGGGGGCACGAACCGG
rnacentral:rRNA from 2 species